CCGCAUGACGCAUAGAGGUCGCAUGAUCUAUAUGCCAAAGAUUUAUCGCUUCAAGAUGGCCUCGCGUCUGAUUAGCUGGUUGGCGGGGUAACGGCCCACCAAGGCGACGAUCAGUAGCCGGACUGAGAGGUUGAACGGCCACAUUGGGACUGAGAUACGGCCCAGACUCCUACGGGAGGCAGCAGUGGGGAAUAUUGGGCAAUGGGCGCUAGCCUGACCCAGCAACGCCGCGUGAAGGAAGAAGGCUUUCGGGUUGUAACCCUCUUUUAAGAGGGAAGAGCAGAAGACGGUACCUCUAGAAUAAGCCACGGCUAACUACGUGCCAGCAGCCGCGGUAAUACGUAGGUGGCGAGCGUUGUCCGGAUUUACUGGGUGUAAAGGGCGUGCAGCCGGGUCUGCAAGUCAGAUGUGAAAUCCAUGGGCUCAACCCAUGAACUGCAUUUGAAACUGUAGAUCUUGAGUGUCGGAGGGGCAAUCGGAAUUCCUAGUGUAGCGGUGGAAUGCGUAGAUAUUAGGAGGAACACCAGUGGCGAAGGCGGAUUGCUGGACCGAUAACUGACGGUGAGGCGCGAUAGUGUGGGGGAGCAAACAGGAUUAGAUACCCUGGUAGUCCCACACUGGUAAACGAUGAAUCACUAAGUUGUGCUGGGGACUGACCCCCUGCGUGCCCGCCAGUAAACACAAUAAGUAUUACCACCCUGGGGAGUACCGAUCGCAAGGUUGAAAC
rnacentral:rRNA from 1 species